GACGAACGCUGGCGGCGUGCCUAAUACAUGCAAGUAGAACGCUGAAGAGAGGAGCUUACUCUUCUUGGAUGAGUUGCGAACGGGUGAGUAACGCGUAGGUAACCUGCCUUGUAGCGGGGGAUAACUAUUGGAAACGAUAGCUAAUACCGCAUAACAAUGGAUGACACAUGUCAUUUAUUUGAAAGGGGCAAUUGCUCCACUACAAGAUGGACCUGCGUUGUAUUAGCUAGUAGGUGAGGUAAUGGCUCACCUAGGCGACGAUACAUAGCCGCCCUGAGAGGGUGCUCGGCCACACUGGGACGGGGACACGGCCCAGACUCCUACGGGAGGCAGCAGUAGGGAAUCUUCGGCAAUGGGGGCAACCCUGACCGAGCAACGCCGCGUGAGUGCAGAAGGUUGUCGGAUCGUAAAGCUCUGUUGUAAGUCAAGAACGGGUGUGAGAGUGGAAAGUUCACACUGUGACGGUAGCUUACCAGAAAGGGACGGCUAACUACGUG
rnacentral:rRNA from 1 species